CAGGUGUAGUUCAGUGGUAGAACACCAGCUUCCCAAGCUGGAUAUGCGGGUUCGAUUCCCGUCACCUG
rnacentral:tRNA from 1 species